UACGUAGGGUGCAAGCGUUGUCCGGAUUUAUUGGGCGUAAAGAGCGUGUAGGCGGCUUUGCAAGUCCGUUGUGAAAACUCGAGGCUCAACCUCGAGACGCCGGUGGAAACUGCAAAGCUAGAGUCCGGAAGAGGAGAGUGGAAUUCCUGGUGUAGCGGUGAAAUGCGCAGAUAUCAGGAAGAACACCGAUGGCGAAGGCAGCUCUCUGGGACGGUACUGACGCUGAGACGCGAAAGCGUGGGGAGCGAACAGG
rnacentral:rRNA from 1 species